rnacentral:lncRNA from 1 species
AAGAAUAUGCCCUACUAUUAUCGAGGAAGAAUUUUGACGAGUAUGUCCGGGGUUGAUCUUUCUUGUAACAAACUGACAGGUGAGAUUCCUACUCAAAUUGGAUAUCUCACUAGGAUUCGUGCACUAAAUCUAUCUCAUAACAAUUUGACGGGCACAAUCCCGACAACAUUUUCAAACCUGAAGCAAGUCGAAAGCUUGGACCUCUCCUACAACCUAUUGCAUGGGAAAAUCCCUCCUCAGCUCAUUGUGCUAACUACAUUGGCGGUCUUCAGAGUAGCAUACAAUAACUUAUCAGGAAAAAUCCCUGAUAAAGUUGCACAAUUUUCAACUUUUGAGGAAGAUAGCUAUGAGGGGAAUCCUUUUCUUUGUGGACAGCCACUGUCCAAAAGUUGCGAUGAUAAUGGAUUAACAACAGUGACAACAGAAGCUUACACCGAAAAUGAAGAAGGUGAUAGUUUAAUUGACAUGGACAGUUUCCUGAUCACUUUUACAGUUUCUUAUGGAAUUGUGAUAAUAGGAAUUAUUGGAGUUUUGUACGUGAAUCCUUAUUGGCGGCGAAGAUGGUUUUAUCUUAUUGAAGUGUGUAUGACCUCUUGCUACUAUUUUGUGGCGGACAAUCUCAUUCUCAAAAGAUUCUACCGUGGACGGGUGUAAUUUCAUUACAUGUACUUUUUAAAGAAUUUUCUUUUGUACGCAUGGAGUAGCAACUCAAUAAAGUGUUUGAUGCAAAUUGUCCAAUAAUAACAGUCGGUAGUACAUAUACAGUUAAUGAUAUUUUUAACCAUUCGCAGAAUGCCCUUAGGAAUUUCUUUAGAUGGCCGCCAAAACUAACACAUCAUAACUGGCAAAAGGUCUCUCUUUUACACGGUCUGAAUGAAGAUUAACUUAUGCCCUCUGGAGUAUGUGUAAGUUCUCUUUUAAAUUUAUGGGUUGAGAUUUCAGGUCCGGAUGGAAGUUGAAUGCAGGCGACGAGACUUCGCUGGAAGAUAACUAGAACUUGGAAUAACUAUCAGAUUUGCUACUCUUUAUUUGUUAUAUGCUAGUGGGGAUUUUAGGUAGCAAUUAUCGCCUUGGGAGUUACAGUAAUCGAUUCGUAUCCUCCUUUAUUUCCGAGGGUAACCCAGCUCUAUACAAGAAGAACAAGAGAAGGUUCAUUUAAGAAAUUUCACCACCCACAAUUUUUUUUUUCUUUUUUCUCUCUUCCUCACAACAAAUACACCUAACAGACCAAACCGUGCGCAAAAUAAUUCUGUUCUAUGCAUGUCAUGAAUCCAAAAAGUCAAAAACUAUUCCAACUCAGUUUGUUUAAUCAGCAUAACUAAAUUGUGGGUAUAAAACUAUAAAUGAACAAACUUUUGAAGCCUGUAACUUACAAUAAACACAAACCCAAAAAUGACAUUUAAAUCCUGCAAGUGUUUUUUCAUCAUCCCUAACAAAAAGAAACAAGAAUAAUUAUAUACCAAUAAUUUUUCUACAAAAAAUUAUAGACUCAAGGGAGGAUUAAGCGGCGGAGCUGUUGGUGUAGAUGAAGAGACAGGCUGCAUCAUCGGCGCAGAGGAGGAUGGAGGAGGAACAAAGAAUAAGGAAGGCUUUACGAGAUUAGGUGUCCCGUUGCCAGAUUCAGAGGUGUCAAUGGGUGGCAUUAAAGGAGUAUGUGCUGAUAGAGGUGGGGAUGGUAUUUGCAAGGUUGGCACAGUAGGAGAAGCAACACUGGCAGGAUGAGAAGGUACAGAAAUAGUUGUAUUGCACUGGUAAGGUUGUGCAGAAAUUGCUGCAUUAGAAUAAAAAAUUAUAGUCCAGAGUAAUGGGUCGCUCAAUUUAUCGAAGAUAACUGGAUCUUAGAAUAGCCAUCAGAUUUUCCAUCAGAUAACUGGAUCUUAGAAUAGCUGGAAAUGUGUUUGGUUACUGAGAAAGAGAGCAAGAAAAUGAAAGAAAUCUAUUUCACUUUUUAUUUAUCAGAAUGAUUACAUUCACAAUGAAUCUAAGCUGAUAUUUAUACUUGAAUGAAUACACACGAGAUUCUUCUUGCUAGAUACUUCUAGAAACUCUACACGCACACUCGCACUGAGCUAGUGGUUACUAAAACCGUUACAACAAUAUUGCCAGCUCAGCAUAACCAACUUAUAACUAACACACUCAGCUGCAGGGGAAACCAUCAAGCUUACUGCGCAUCCUCUGUAAUCAAGCUUCUUUAAGCAUGCUCUGCAGAUCAUAUUUUUGUGGGUCUUACAUUAUCCAAAAAAAUAACUCGUCCAUCUAGUAACUGCAAGUACAUACUGUGAGAUGCUUAAACUCAACAAUAUAAGCAUGGUAAAUUAGAGAAAAAUGAUGCAAAUUAGAUACACCUGCACAGAAUGCCAGUUAAUUUGGUCAUAAUUAGAUAACAAGAUUGCAAAUUCUGCAGCCAAAGGUAGAACGCAACUAAGGAAAUCAAAUAUGAACAUGUCUUCAAUCUCAAAAUAUUAAGAGUAGCAUAAGUAACUUGUGAAACAGUUAUAAGUUCAAAGGAAUUAGAUGAUGGCAUGGUUGAAUUUAUAAAUAUUUGAUAUUUUGGACCGAACAGGGCAAACAGAUGGAUCCAGAUAAUUAAGAAAAAAUAUCAAUUCCAUGCAACCAAAUUAGUGUGUACAAUGCAAUUGCCUUUCCCUAUGAGAGUAGAGAGCCUAAAUACAAGCAAAAACCUACUAAUGCAUCUGCAGAAGCUCACAUUCACUAGCUGCAUGAUUAAAUCACUGGAUGGUCUCGCUAUGCGGUGAAGAAUGAAAUAAUUAACGACCUGAUAAGGCUGCAACGUGAAGAAACUAUUCACCAGAAAAAGUUCAAAAUCAAAUCAACGUGGUUUUGAUUUUGGAAAAAAUGAAACAAUACGUAGUGAAUGAAUCUGCUCGUAACUAUGCAAGACACAAUCACUUCCCAGGAUCUCAGAUAUAGAUUUACCAAGUUGCACAGAUUGAAGAACGAAUCCAGAAAGAAUCAAUUUAACACAAGAAUUAAGAGAACUGAAAAGAAUAGAAACAAACACAGACAACACAAGAAUCAAUUACGUGGUUCGGUUGCACCAAGGAGGCACAACCUACAUCCACCACGGGAGAUGCUUUGGAGAGCUUUUAUUGAAUAACAAUGGAGGAUCUUUUACAGGGCUUUUACUUAAGAUUACAGAGAACUCAUCUUUCACAUUCUCUGAUAUCUCUCUCUCUCUCUUAACACGGUUACACACACGCUCAGCUCACAAACUGAACUACAAGAGCAAUUAGCUAAAUCUAGAUUGCACAGCUUGUUGACACGUUGAGUAACAGACUUAAUGAACUGAAUCAAGUUGCCUCGCACGGCUAUCACGUGCAUCACUUAAAGCUUUCCCUUAAACGACACAGAAGAACUGCCGUUUCAAACUUAAGAAACAAGUGAUUACACACGUGCUUGAGCCCGUGACUUUUAAGUGCUCUUAUCUUAUAUUGCCAAAACGCUGCCGUUUAGAGCUGAUGAGUUUGAUCCACCAGCAAGCCUCACACAAUAUCACUUGAGCAACACUAUAAAAUUAUUCAAAGAAAUCUCUAGGUCAGUAUCCAAAUAUAUGGCUCCGUCCGUUCCACCAGCACCUAAAAUAUCAGAUCCCCCCAUUUGGAUUCGAUUGAUUAAUUUGAGCAUAUAAAAUCGGGUUUUAAACUUCCCUAAUCAAAAUUUAUAUUCCGCAGAAUCGGUUCCUUUAACAUGAUGCAUUACAUAAUAUUUUGUUUGCAAAAUAAAGAAGAAAGAUGACAUAAUAGAAACACUCGCAGAGAGAGAAUACCUUUGACGAAAAGCUUAGAAGUGAAUCCUCUGUAAAAUACGAGUUGAGCUGCUGAAUUUUUCGAGUUUGAAUGAGAGACUGCGCCAUUUCUGAAAAUGUUUUUUUCUCAUUAGCGCCGCCAUUUUUGUAAUAGAGGGUAAAGAAAUAAGUAACAAAGUAAGAGGUGAGCAGAAGCGGCCCAAUUUAGUUAUAUGCAUGUAUGUGAUCAAAAUUGGAUGGUUAAAUUUUGUUGUUUCCAAUAAUUUUAUGUUGUAUCUUUUUUAAUAAUAAAGAAAACUUGCAUUAAAACUAAAAGUAGGGUAAUACCUGAUUUUAUAAAUAGAUUGCAGUGUAAUUUUGAAAAUAAAACAAUAAUUUACGAAAUGGUUAUAACAUAAUUUUAAUUUUUUUUCAAAAAGGAAAAACAACAAAAGUAAGAUAUAGAGAAUGAGGGCUGCAAACUUUGUAUCUUAAACGGCCGUUAGAUUAUUUGUAAAUGAAAGCAACGGUGAGAUAUUAGUGGCUUAUGGAAACAGGUAAUCAUAAGGACUACAAGUUUUUUUUGGUUACAUUGAUAUAUUACAAUCAUGAUUCUAUUAAUAUUUACAAUCAGAAUUUUAUCUGAUUAUCUUUAAUAAUUCUAAACUAGUACAGCCCAAAUUUCUAUUCUCAUAUAAUAUUAAAGAGAGAUAUAUAUUCUUUUCCUCUAUUAAUGAAGAGAUUUUUUUACUUCUAUCCAAUUUAAUUGGAAUGAGAAUUAAGUACUUUCAAUAGUGAGGACUCAGAACUCAUACAUGCAGAGUGUGGGGAGUGACAAUGGGCCAAGAGACCAUUGACAAGUACAAAAGAGUGGUUGCAAUUAAUUCAAACCGCUACACACGGUAUUGCAACCAAAUUGAGGGCCCAUUUUUGUUUAUUUCAUUGAAAAAUAGUUUGCACAAUUAAUUCAAACCGCUACACACGCUAUUGCAACCAAAUCGAGGGCCCUUUUUUGUUCCUUUGGUUGAAAAUUAGUUUGUACAAUUAAUUCAAACCACUACACACGCUAUUGCAUCUUUUGAAAAAGAAAAAAGUGGAAUAGAUUUCCAAGAUUAAUUCAGAGAAUAAGAUUUAAUAAUAAUGAUGUUAGAAAUCUUGAUAUUUGAAUCUUAAUAUUAUGUAUCACUGAUUUAUUAAAUAAUAGAUUUCAUAGUUUGUAAAAGUAUUUAACCACUUGAUAAAUAUUAUAUUUGUUGAGACUAAAUUAGGAUUUAAAUGUUGGAAUAUCUAACAUUACAUAAAUAAAUAAAAACUUAAUAAUUUAUCUUCACACGACUAAUUAUUUUUGCAUCACAACUAACCUUAAUUAUUUUAAAAAUAAUAAUAUUAUUAAAUUGCCCUGACUAGAUAUCAAAAGAUGAAAGCAUGUUAAAAUAAGAAAUUACUAAGAAACAUGUGCUUAAACAAAUGUUCAGGCUACGAACAAUUAAGAAGAAACAACUUACAAUCAAAGGUUAAGAUUAUGAACAAUUUAAGGAAGGUAUUGAGCAGAUAAAGGGACGGAAUGGUUGUUUGAAUUGCCGAUGACAAAAAUGCUUGUGUUGUGAAAAGAAAUUUGAUGGUUUGUAAAUGGGUUGAAUUUUUCGCUCGCUUCAAUGACUUUCUUAUGCCCAAUAUAUUACUUUGCACAGUAGUAUUUGGGAUAUAUCCUAACAAUCAACUCUUAAUUUGGUCCCAAUAUAUUACUUUAUGAAUGCUUGUGUUGUUUUUUUUUUAUAUAAAAUAAUUUAUUUAACUAAUCAUAGAAAUAAGGGAGAAAAGGGGGCAUUUGUUGACUCAAAGUCAAUUACAAAUAUUCCAUGCCUAACUUCCACGCACCCUAAAGCGGUUUGAUUUGCUUUCACGCCUUCAUGAAUUUCCAUGAAAGAGAGUGCCUCUCGUCUCUUUCCGGACAGUGCCGACAAUUAUGUUAACGUGACAAAUACAUAACGUUAUUACAUACAAUAAUAAGUUUUUGGAGCCGAGACUUGAGAGGGAGGUUCUAUCUAAUUCUAAAGAUUGUAACCAAAUCAUUAUCCCCAAUUUUUUUCAGUUAAAUAAAAUAAAAUUUAUGCUUAAGUAUAAAUAAAAUCCACAGUGGAUAAAGAUUUGAUUAUCGAUUUUUUUUAAUGUAAAAUUGCUGGUUUGUUGCUUAAAAUUUUCAAUAAUAAUUUCACUUAUUUAGUAAUUAGAGAGAGAGAGAGGAUUGAGGGCCAAUGUUUCGCGAUUUGGGGUCAAUUCACAGUCAACUAACGUGUAAAACAUGAUUUCCUUUCAUGAACUUCGAAGAAAGAAAGAAGACUCUUCGCCUUCUUCGUGACAACGAAUGAUGUUGAUAUGACAAAUACAAUCGCUAUUACAGGGAACAACAUAGGACCGAGACUUGAUAAAGGGUUUGUUAAAUUACAUGUUAUUUUCUUGCUGACUGAAUUGGAAGAAAAAAAUAAAAAUAAAAUAAAAUUGUAAUCAGGGUGAUGUGUGGAAUAUAUUGAAAUAAAUAAAUAGAGAAGAGAAAUUUGUUGAUCAAUAUUCAAGAACUCAUCCAAAGUGACUGUUAAAUUCUAGAGGUUCCGUAUGAUUAGCAUUUAUUUUUAAUUUUUUGGCUUAACAUCAUAUGUAGUCACUGGUCAUGUGAUCUAGGAUAGGUUUAGAAAUCUUUUUUUUUUUAACUUCCGUAUUCUUAUUAUUUAAUUAGUUAUAGGGUUUUUUAGUAUUUGAGUAGUGAUCACAGAUCUCCUAAUAUAAAAAUAUGUUUCUACGAGUACAAAUAAAAACUAGGAUUUUAACAACCUUUUAUACUAAACCCUAAAAAUAUAUGAAUUUAUCAAAAUAAAUAAAUUUGAAUUGGUAUGCCAUAAUAAAAAUUUUACUUGCCAAAACAAAUUAAAAAAAAUAUGACGCUUAAAUCAAAUAUCGACAAAAAUAGAUAAAAAUCCAACAAGAAUCUCAAAAAUAAGAAAGAUAUCUUCAGACAAAAAUAGAAGCGUCCAAGAGAAAUUUGACAAAGACAAAUACCAAUUACUCAAGUUAUGGCCCUAUGAAGACAUCCUAUUCAUUCUACCUAGACCAGGACGUGUCGCACAUGUUUGCAUUCAAAUUUAGGUGAAAGCAAAUCGAGAGUUUGAUUAAAUUCAACCAAUUAUUAGUGUGUAAGGAUGGUAGGGAUGGAAAAAAACUCCGACCGUUCUUAGGUAUGGUAUUACCCAGAUCUGGCCUAAGCAUGUUUUUUUGAACACUCGGACUUUUUUAAUCAAAACUUAAAAAACCUAGAAUUUAUAUUUUAUAAUAUUAUAUAUAUUUAAUUUAUUUUAUAAUUUUAUAUUUUCAAAUUUUAUUUUAAUGAAAUUGGAAUUAAAAAUAUGAGUUUUAAAUGUUUAAAAAUUUAAAAAUAGAUAAUAAGUGGACCAAAUGAACAAAAUAAUAGAUAUUUUAUAAUAUUCUUCAUAAAAAUCCAAGUUUUGAGCUAGCCCAUAAGCUUGUCUAGUGAAGUCUGGGUACCCGCGUUGCCCAAGGUUCCGCCAGAAUCCAGGCUGUGCAGAUAUUUAUGGACGGAGAGGAAAUAUUUUCAGUUGACUGAAUUAAAUAAAAAUAUAUUACAAUCAUAUUAUAUAUUAACAGAAAAAAUAAAAAGAAAUGAAGAAAAACGCAUGCAAGACUUAGACAAAGUCAAUUAAAAGCUGGGAGUAUCAUCAGUUCAAUUGGUUUUAAAUAGCGUAGAACCAUCCUCUCGUUGUUGCAGAAGAGAGACAGAAAGAGUGUGUGUAGGUGAUUAUAAUUAAGAAGAUAUAAUGUGUGGUUCAAAAAGAGUGUGGGUGAGUGAGUUAAUUUUCAUAUUAUUAGUAGUAAAAGGGUGGUGGAGUGAGGGAUGUUUGGAGCAAGAGAGGUAUGCUCUCCUCCAACUCAGACAUUUCUUCAAUGAUGAUCAAUGUCUUCAAAACUGCUGGGUAGACGAUGAGAAUUAUUCAGAUUGUUGUCAGUGGGAACGGGUUGAGUGCAACGACACUACUGGCAGAGUGAUUAAAUUAGAUCUACGAGAUACUAGGAAUUGGGAAUCAGCAGAGUGGUAUAUGAAUGCCUCUCUGUUUACUCCCUUUCAACAAUUAGAGUCUCUUUAUCUAAUUGGGAACAAUAUAGCUGGUUGUGUUGAAAAUGAAGGUCCUUAAUUUACUUUAUUUUAAUUCUUCCUCCUCGUAAUUUCUUACAUCUAUCUGAUCCCUUUUGGCUUUUAUUUAAUUUUUACGUGAUACAAUAAAAUUAUUUUUUAUUUUUUGUCAGGUCUAGAUACGUUAUCAAGGUUGAACAACUUGAAGUUUCUUUAUUUAGACUAUAACCACUUCAACAACAGCAUCUUUUCAUCUCUAGGUGGUCUUUCAUCACUCAGAAACUUAUCAUUGAUUGGUAAUAGAUUGAUUGGAAGUAUUGAUAUUAAAGGUAAGUACGCUUCAACCCUUUUCCCCUGUCCCAUCUUUUGUGGAUCUUAUUUCACUGAGCAGCUGGAAGUAUUGAUACGAGAUCUAGCUAGAUUCUUGCGAGUUUAGGCUUCAAGGCUUUGAAUAUUAUAAAAAUAGGAUUAAGAAAUUAUCAAUAUAUGCAAUUUUCAAUGCUUCUCAUAGUCAGACACAAUUCAAUCUAAUUAUUUCUUAUGUCCUGUCUUCAAAAGUAAAGAAUUGUACACUAAAUGGAAAUCGACAUCAUAGCAUUUUAUUUUCUGUAAUGAUAUUUCUUCGUUAACAAAUUUAUAUCCUAAGAGGGAUUGGAUUUAAAAAAAAAAAGAUUUGAUGUUCAAGGUAAGCCAUAAUAACCUGCAUCUUAUUUGUCUGCCGAUAUCCAAAUUUGUGCACUGAAUUUAGUAUUUUGGUUAUUGUGAAGGGAUCAGAUAUUGUCUUCCAUAGACCAACUUGUAUUUACUUAAUUAAUUAAUUAACGCCAUUUAGUAUUUAACAAAUUAAAAUUUCGUAUUUAAUCUAUUUUAAAUUUUUUAAGAAAAAAGAAAAAGAUAUAGCCGUAGGUAAAGCUAAAAUAAAUUUAAAUUCCUUACAAAUUUAAAUUCAUGGUUGUCAGCUAAAUAUACCUGCUUAAAGCCACUCAGUCGAGCCCUUUAAGAGCUGCUUUAAGUUUUUCGGAUUAGCCAUAUUCUUUUCACAUAAAUAAAUUUCUUUGCGCCGAGAUUUAAAAUAACGAAGGAGAAAAUAAGUUAUUUAAUUAACCCUGUUUUAAGUGUUGGCAUAAAUGCAGGACUGGAUUCCUUGGGUAACUUGGAGGAGCUGGACAUGAGCGACAAUGCAAUCAACAAUCUAGUGAUUCCUAAAGGUAUACAAAAUGUUCAAAUAUUAAUAAUUUGGAAGACAAUUUAAUUGAUUUGAUUAGGGAUUUCCCAAUGACACUUACCCAAAAUAAUUUAAUCCGAAAUUGUAAUCCAAAUAGAUUACAGAGGUUUGAGGAAGUUGAAUACCCUUUACUUAGGGGGAACGGAAAUUGCAAUGAUAGAUGGAAGCAAGGUGUUACAAUCAAUAGGAUCACUACCGUCCCUCAAAACACUUUACCUUUCGUCUACUAAUUUUAAGGGAACAGUAGUUAAUCAAGGUAAGUAAGUCUUUUAUGUCGAAAAUAAUUGAAUUAAUAUAUAUAGCUAAAAUUUACUGUUUCUUCUUCUUUGUAAAUAGAAUUGCACAAUUUCACCAACUUGGAAGAAUUGAUAUUGGACGAUUCUGAUCUCCACAUAAGCCAGCUUCUGCAAAGCAUCGCAUCAUUCACUUCGUUAAAGUAUUUGUCAAUGGGAUUUUGUACACUCACGGGUGCGCUACAUGGUCAAGGUAAAUUACGGGUAUCUGAAGCUUUUAUGAUAUUAAUUCGAUAAUAAUUAUUUCUUUUCAAGUUAAUUUUCUCCCAUAAAAUAAUAUAUAUUUUUUUAAAUUUUAUAUAUUUUCACUGUCCAAUAGUUCUAGCUUCUCUAAUUUGCAGGAUUCUUGAUUAAGGUUAAUGAAAUUUUAGUUCUGUUAUGUUAAGAAUAUUUCGAUCGCUUAGAAGAGUAAAGAAAAAUAAGUAAAUUAACCAAAAAAAAAAGAAAAGAAAAGGACCGGAUUAUCCUUAUUCCCUUGCAUUAUGUGAUCAAUAUCAAAAUUAUAAUCAUUUCUUGUUUAUUGCUUGUAGAUUUUCGUAAAUUCAAGAAUUUGAAAAAUCUGGACAUGAAUCUGGUGUAUGUUGACGUCAACACCAGUUUUCUUCAAAUUGUCGGUGAAUCGAUGCCUUCUCUCAAGUUUUUAUCACUGACAGAUUCAAUUCUUAAUAAAAACACCAUUCUUGAUCAAGGUUAAUUAAUGAUUCUCCUUCUCCCUCUCUCGCAUCAUAACUAAAUUUAAUUGAGAAUAUCUAUAAUGCGAGCUAUUUAUAAACUUAAUGAAAGAUGAUAAGGAGCUACUAUAAUGACAAAAACAACUGUAAAAUAGUGCGCUGUUGUAGUGUUAAUUGAAAAAUAAUGCUAAUUUUAUAGUCAUUUUGUUGCCAUUACGUCAGAUUCCAUUGUUCAAUUAUUUAAGUUUUAUGCAAAUAUAUUUUUCAGGACUUUGUCGGUUAGUGCAUCUACAAGAGUUAUACAUCGGCGGUAAUGAUUUGAGAGGUAGCUUGCCAUGGUGCUUGGCAAACAUGACAUCCCUCCAAGUGUUAGAUGCCUCUUUUAAUCAACUUACUGGAAACAUCUCCCCAGGCCUUUGUGAGUUGGUGCUUCUGAGAGAGUUAUACAUUGAUUACAAUGAUUUAAGAGGUAGCUUGCCUUUGUGCUUGGCAAAUUUGACUUCCCUUCGAGUAUUAGAUGUCUCUUACAAUCAACUUACUGAAAACAUCUCAUCUUCCCUCAUGCAUCUAAUAUCUAUGGAAAAGCUCAUACUUUCAAAUAAUCACUUCUUCCAAAUCCCUAUUUCACUUGAACCACUUUUCAAUCUCACAAAACUCAAGACUUUCGAUGGUGAAAUAUACGCAGAAACUGAGUCACAUUAUAAUUCUUUGACCCCAAAAUUCCAAUUGACUUCUAUCUCAUUGUCUGGCUACGGAGAUGGUGGCACAUUUCCCAAAUUCUUGUACCAUCAGCAUGACUUGAAGAAUGCUGAUCUCUCACACCUUAACUUGAGUGGAAAUUUUCCAAAUUGGUUGGUAGAAAACAAUACGAACUUAGAGACGCUUCUUCUUGCCAAUAACUCUCUUUUUGGAUCAUUUCGGAUGCCAAUUCAUUCCCACCAGAAAUUAGCAACAUUGGAUGUCUCCAACAAUUUCUUUCAAGGCCAUAUCCCAGUAGAAAUCGGAAUAUAUCUGCCAGGCUUAAUGCAUUUAAACUUAUCUAGAAAUGCUUUCAACGGUAGCAUUCCCUCUUCAUUUGCUGAUACGAAAAUGUUGAAAAGCUUGGACAUAUCCUACAAUCAGUUGACUGGUGAAAUCCCUGAGCGCAUGGCCAUGGGUUGCUUCUCAUUGGAAAUUCUUGCAUUGUCAAACAACAGUUUGCAAGGUCAUAUAUUCUCUAAAAAAUUUAACUUGACAAAUUUGAUGAUGUUGCAGUUGGAUGGUAAUAAAUUCAUUGGAGAGAUCCCAGAAAGCUUAUCUAAGUGCUAUUUGUUGGGAGGAUUGUAUCUGAGUGAUAAUCAUCUCUCUGGUGAGAUUCCAAGAUGGUUGGGUAAUUUGUCAGGUUUAGAAGAUAUUAUAAUGCCCAAUAACAAUCUUGAAGGACCAAUUCCAAUCGAGUUUUGUCAGCUUGAUUAUCUGAAGAUUUUAGACCUUUCAAACAAUAGUAUUUUUGGAACUUUACCAUCUUGUUUUAGUCCAGCAUCUAUCGAACAAGUUCAUUUGUCGAAAAACAAGAUAGAAAGACGGCUGGAGAGUAUAAUCCAUGACAGCCCUCAUUUGGUGACAUUCGAUCUUAGUUAUAACAGCUUACACGGAAGUAUUCCAAAUUGGAUUGACAGACUACCUCAGUUAAACUACCUUCUUUUAGCUCAUAAUUAUAUUAAAGGCGAAAUACCAGUUCAAUUAUGCCAGUUGAAGGAAGUGCGGUUGAUUGAUCUUUCUCAUAAUAAUCUAUCUGGUCAUAUUCCUCCUUGCUUGGUUAACACUUCACUCAGUGAAGGUCAUCAUGAGGCAGUAGCUCCAACUUCUAGUUCGUGUGGUCGAGCGUCUGGCUAUGCAAGUCCAUGUGCGAAAAAUACAAGUGGACUUCCGAUGGGAAAGGAAGAAACUGUACAGUUCACAACAAAGAAUAUGUCCUACUAUUAUCAAGGAAGAAUUUUGACGAGUAUGUCUGGGAUUGAUCUUUCUUGUAACAAACUGACAGGUGAGAUUCCUACUCAAAUUGGAUAUCUUACAAGGAUUCGUGCGCUAAAUCUAUCUCAUAACAAUUUGACGGGCACAAUCCCGACAACAUUUUCAAACCUGAAGCAAAUCGAAAGCUUGGACCUCUCCUACAACCUACUGCAUGGGAAAAUCCCUUCUCAGCUCACUGUGCUAAAUACAUUGGCGGUCUUCA